GACGAACGCUGGCGGCGCGCCUAACACAUGCAAGUCGAACGAGCGAGAGAGAGCUUGCUUUCUCGAGCGAGUGGCGAACGGGUGAGUAACGCGUGAGGAACCUGCCUCAAAGAGGGGGACGACAGUUGGAAACGACUGCUAAUACCGCAUAAGCCCACGGCUCGGCAUCGAGCAGGGGGAAAAGGAGCAAUCCGCUUUGAGAUGGCCUCGCGUCCGAUUAGCUAGUUGGUGAGGUAACGGCCCACCAAGGCGACGAUCGGUAGCCGGACUGAGAGGUUGAACGGCCACAUUGGGACUGAGACACGGCCCAGACUCCUACGGGAGGCAGCAGUGGGGAAUAUUGCACAAUGGGGGAAACCCUGAUGCAGCGACGCCGCGUGGAGGAAGAAGGUCUUCGGAUUGUAAACUCCUGUUGUUGGGGAAGAUAAUGGCGGUACCCAACAAGGAAGUGACGGCUAACUACGUG
rnacentral:rRNA from 1 species